GGGCAGCUCAGUGUGUGCCGGGGAGGGGGGGUUCCAGGCGCACUGGACACCAUGAACCACCUGAACGUGCUGGUCAAAGUCCUCUAUGACGACGUGGCCGAGUCCCCAGAUGAGCUCUCCUUCCGCAAGGGCGACAUCAUGACAGUGCUGGAGCAGGACACGCAGGGCCUGGAUAGCUGGUGGCUCUGCUCACUGCACGGGCGCCAGGGCAUCGUGCACUGGAACCACCUCAAGAUCUUAGUGGGCAUGUACGAUAAGAAGUCAGCAGGGCCUGGCCCCGGUCCUCCCGCUGCCCGGGCCCAGCCUCAGCACAGCAUCCCACAGGGCCUCCAUGCCCCAGCGCCUCCAACGUCCCAGUACACGCCCAUGCUCCCCACCACCUACCAGCCCCUGCCCGACAGCAUCUACCUGGUGCCCACCCCGAGCAAGACUCAGCAAGGCCUCUACCAAGCCCCUGGUCCCAGCCCUCAGUUCCAGUUGUCCCCAGCCAAGCAGACAUCUACAUUCUCGAAGCAGACGCCCCAUCACCCAUUUUCCCAGACCGACCACAGACCUGUACCAUGUAACCCCAGGGCCUGGAGGCCCUGCCCAGGACAUUUACCAGGUACCACCUUCUACUGGGAUGGGGCAUGACAUCUACCAGGUUCCCUUGUCCAUGGACACAUGCAGCUGGGAGGGCACAAAGCCCCUAGCAAAGUGGUGGUGCCCACCUGCGUGGGACAGGGCUAUGCAUGAGGCCGCAAAGUCAGAGCAGGGCGAGUACGACAUUCCGCGACACCUGCUGGUCCCCCGUGCCCCAGGACAUCUAUGAUGUGCCCCCUUUUGGGGGGCUGCUUCCCAGCCAGUAUGGCCAGGAAGUAGACGACACACCCUCAUGGCUGUCAAGGGUUCCAAUGGCUGAGUCUCGUUGCUGGAGGUGUAUGACAUGCUCCCCAGCAUGAGGGGCCUGCCCCUGUCCAGCCAGCACGCAGUCUACAACAUUCCUCCAUCGGUGAGCAAGGACGUGCCCGACGGCCCGCUGCUGCGUGAGGAAACCUAUGAUGUGCCCCCGGCCUUCGCCAAGGCCAAGCCCUUUGACCCGACCCGCACCCCGCUGGUCCUGGCUGCGCCCCCUCCAGACUCCCAGCCAACCGAGGACUUGUAUGAUGUGCCGCCCCCGGCUCCUGACCUCUACAAUGUGCCCCCUGGCUUGCGGCAGCCUGGCCCAGGCACUUGUACGACAUGCCCCGUGAACAGGGGCUUCCUCCUGAGGUGGCCGAUGGUGGCGAGGCUGACGAUGGUGUGUAUGCAUUGCCUCCCCCAGCUGAGCGUGAGGCCCCCAGCACCGGCAGCACACGCAGCAGCCAGUCGGCAUCCUCCUUGGAGGUGGUGGGGCCGGGCCGAGAACCCCUGGAGCUGGAAGUUGCUGUGGAGGCCCUGGCUCGGCUGCAGCAGGGUGUGAGUGCCACCGUUGCCCACCUCCUGGACCUGGCAGGCAGCGCCGGUGGGACCAGAAGCUGGCGCAGCACCCCUGAGCCACAGGAGCCACUGGUGCAGGAGCUAUGGGCCGCUGUGGCUGCAGUCCAGAGUGCAGUCCACGAGCUGCUGGAGUUCACCCACAGCGUUGCUGGCAACGCUGCCCACACAUUUGACCUCGUUCUGCACGCCAAGCUUAGCCAGCAACUGCAGAAGAUGGAAUAUGUGCACCAGACACUGGUGGCACAUGGUCAGGCCCUUGACACUGGCCGGGGAGGCCCGGGAGCCACCCCUGAAGACCUGGACCAGCUGGUGGCCUGCUCAUCGGCCAUGCCCGAGGACGCCAAGCAGCUGGCCUUCUUCCUGCACGGCAACGCCUCGUUGCUCUUCAGACGGACCAAGGCCCCUGCCCCGGGGCCUGAGGGGGGUGGCACCCUGCAUCCAAACCCCACUGACAAGGCCAGCAGCAUCCAGUCACGGCCCCUGCCCUCACCCCCUAAGUUCACCUCCCAGGACUCGCCAGAUGGGCAGUAUGAGAACAGCGAGGGUGGCUGGAUGGAGGACUAUGACUACGUCCACCUACAGGGGAAGGAAGAGUUUGAGAAGACCCAGAAGGAGCUGCUGGAAAAGGGCAGCAUCACGCGGCAGGGCAAGAGCCAGCUGGAGCUGCAGCAGCUGAAGCAGUUCGAACGCCUGGAACAGGAGGUGUCACGGCCCAUAGACCAUGACCUGGCCAACUGGACGCCGGCCCAGCCCCUCUACCUGGGGUGGACGGGCAGCCUGGGGCCCUCGGACCAGCAACUGCUGCUCUUCUAUCUGGAACAGUGUGAGGCCAACCCAACCACGCUGACCAAUGCCAUGGACACCUUCUUCACUGCUGUGGCCACUAACCAGCCACCCAAGAUCUUCGUGGCGCAUAGCAAGUUCGUCAUCCUCAGCGCCCACAAGGUGGUGUUCAUCCAGGACAUACUGUCUCGGCAGGCCAAGGUGGCCCACUACAGCAACCUGCUGUGCGACCUCCUGCACGGCAUCGUGGCCACCACCAAGGCCUCCGCCCUGCAGUACCCAUCACCCUCUGCUGCCCAUGACAUGGUGGAGAGGGUCAAGGAGCUGCGCCACAGCACCCAGCAGUUCCGCAGUGUCCUGGGCCAGCUGGCAGCCCCCUGAGGGCAGUGACCCCAAGAGGGAGGCAGGGGAGGGGUGUGGCAGCCCCAGCUCCCCAUCCCCCGUCUCAAGAGUAGCUGUGCUGCAGGCUGGGGGACAGGACCCCAGCUCUGCCUCAGGCCUGGCACCCCAGAUGCCCAGAAUCUGUAUAUAUUUAUGGCUGGGCAGGGCGUGGGGCCAUGCCCCUCAGAGGAGCCGAAGCCCAGGGGCUGGUCAGUGGCCUUCCCCAUCAUGCACCGCA